rnacentral:lncRNA from 1 species
GAUUCAGAAAAAGACACUUGCACUUGUCAUUAAGGGCUUUGAGUUCAAAAGAAGCACUCUUUCUACAUUUAUGUCUUUUAACUCAUCUGGGGAGUUUGGUGUGUUAUCUCUCUGCCCUUUCUCAUUGUUCUCCCCAUCUGGGGCUGUUAUUAUGUGAAAGCUUGUUUCUUUCAUCGGAUCGUGUAGGCUGUAAUGAUGUUUCGUUUAUUUUGAUUCUCCUCACACUGCGUAGUUUUAAUUUACCUAAUGUGACUCAUUUUUGUUUGUUUCCUGAGAAUAGGUCUUACUCUGUCUCCUAGGUUGGAGAGGAGCCUCAGGAUCUCAGCCCACUGCAGCCUGGACACCGCACACCCAUGUGAUCCUCUCAAGUCAGACUCACAUAGCUGGCACUACAGCAACCAUAUGUGAGAUAAUGAUGCACAUUACUGCAGACAUCACAGAUACAGGUCCAAAGGGAAAUGAAGAAGUAGAAGAAGAAAGCAAGCUUUAAAGUCUAUACAUUCCUAACACUGUCAGAAACUCACCAAUAACAUGAAAUCAAAGAAUGAUAACAGCAAAUUCCAUUUCAUACCUAGACUGAAAUAUGAAACUUCAAAAGAAAAGAAAGUUAAGAACUUUGGGUUUGUAAAAAUUUUCCUAUAUAGAUAAAAUUAUUGGUAACUUUGUAUCACUAGAAAACAUAAAUGAAAAUCCAUGUUUUGCAUAUUUGUAAAUAUAAAUGUUUUUAUUUCCAUCAUUUAUGACAUGCAAGCAAGUAAUAAAGUGAAAGUACAUUACAAUGAUAUAUGGAACUUUCUCAGUCUCAAAAUAUUCCAUUGAGACUAUUAAUUUUAUGAAAACCACAAAGAAUGCUUCAUGCAACUAUAUUAUACAGUACUUUUUAGUAUUUUACUUACAUUUUAAAUAAUUAACAAAGGGAAUUCUUCAACAUUAUUUAUUACAAAUACCAUUAUUUUCCUUGAGUAAUACUGUUGAAAUUAAGUAUUUUAAAUAAAAUAUUAAAAACAAAUUAUAUUGACUGAUUUCAGCUUUGGAUGAAAUCAUGCUUGUGUAUUUGUAGUAAUGUGAAGUAUAACUUUCUCCUCACAAUUAAUCUUUCAUAACACCAGUGUUAUUGUUUUCUCUGACAACAACAUUGUGAUAUCUCACAGCUUUACUGUACAUAUACACUACAUGCCUCCAGAGAGUAGGCUUCAAACAUAUGGAAAAAUUAUAUUUGUGACAAAAUUCUAGGAAAGGGAAUGGUAAAAUGGGAGAAUAAUUUCUAACUUUCUAACUGUUGAUCAAUGGAUUUGUGUAUAUUUAGAUAUAGACACAUAUUUGCACACUGUGAGUUUGCCCAUGUACAUAUACAUUUACAAGAGAUACCCAUAAUAUGUGGGUUGUGUAAUCUUUUAAUUAAUCCACAAUUGUAUAUGUGUGAAAUUUGAUAAGCGGUUACCUUUUCUAUACUCAAUUUGAUGGAAAGACAAAAAAAUCUCUGUCAACAUUCAUUUCAAUUAAUCCAAUACUGUUAACUGCUGAUAGCUUCAUUCUCCUUGUUCUCUUUUGGCAACCUGAAAGUUAAUUCUCACUCUAAUUCAGCUCUCAGGGUGCAAUCCAGAAGACAGUGUUAUCUUGCUAUGGAUUGUGACCUCUGACUCUACCUCUUUCUUCCUAGAGCAGUCCUACCUUUGCA